GAUCAUGGCUCAGAUUGAACGCUGGCGGCAGGCUUAACACACGCAAGUCGAACGGUAACAUGAAGAAGCUUGCUUCUUUGAUGACGAGUGGCGGACGGGUGAGUAAUGCUUGGGAAUCUAGCUUAUGGAGGGGGAUAACUACGGGAAACUGUAGCUAAUACCGCGUAGAAUCGAGAGAUGAAAGUGUGGGACCUUCGGGCCACAUGCCAUAGGAUGAGCCCAAGUGGGAUUAGGUAG
rnacentral:rRNA from 1 species